rnacentral:rRNA from 1 species
UAGGGAAUCUUCCGCAAUGGACGAAAGUCUGACGGAGCAACGCCGCGUGAGUGAUGAAGGCUUUCGGGUCGUAAAACUCUGUUGUUAGGGAAGAACAAGUGCUAGUUGAAUAAGCUGGCACCUUGACGGUACCUAACCAGAAAGCCACGGCUAACUACGUGCCAGCAGCCGCGGUAAUACGUAGGUGGCAAGCGUUAUCCGGAAUUAUUGGGCGUAAAGCGCGCGCAGGUGGUUUCUUAAGUCUGAUGUGAAAGCCCACGGCUCAACCGUGGAGGGUCAUUGGAAACUGGGAGACUUGAGUGCAGAAGAGGAAAGUGGAAUUCCAUGUGUAGCGGUGAAAUGCGUAGAGAUAUGGAGGAACACCAGUGGCGAAGGCGACUUUCUGGUCUGUAACUGACACUGAGGCGCGAAAGCGUGGGGAGCAAACAGGAUUAGAUACCCUGGUAGUCCACGCCGUAAACGAUGAGUGCUAAGUGUUAGAGGGUUUCCGCCCUUUAGGGCUGAAGUUAACGCAUUAAGCACUCCGCCUGGGGAGUACGGCCGCAAGGCUG